rnacentral:rRNA from 1 species
CAAUCUGCCCUUAAGUUCGGGAUAGCCUCGGGAAACCGUGAUUAAUACCGAAUGUGGUCGUACAUCGCAUGGUGUACUAUCUAAAGAUGGGGAUCCUUCGGGACCUGUCGCUUGAGGAUGAGCCCGCGACCCAUCAGCUUGUUGGUAGGGUAAUGGCUUACCAAGGCAAUAACGGGUAGCUGGUCUGAGAGGAUGGUCAGCAACACUGGGACUGAGACACUGCCCAG